GAGGAAACUACACGAUAUUCCGGUCAUUGUAAACUCCGGAUUCGAACAUCCUUACCAUUCCGGACAGUUCCGGCAGCUUCCGUCGUUCUUACUAUAUAACAUGGCGUUUUCUCGACUUUCUCAAACAGCUUUUAACUACAUUUACUGAAUAGCUCGUAACAGCGGACAGAAAUCUAUCACCAUGAGUGAGUCGAAUAUUACCGGUGUAUGUACGUGGCCAAACGGUCCCGGCUCGAACAGGGGUCCCAAAGCGGAUCAAAUCUGCAACUUUCAAACAAAUAUUUGCCAGUGUCGCACAGGCAGAUAGGGAGGACAACAGAUGGAAUCAAGGAUUCUAUAAUAUCGUAAAACUUGCGAGAUUUUCCGAGGGAGGUCAAACUAAGUGGAUUGUGGAGGAAGUAGAGAAGGGAGAUCCAAUUCAGUAAGACGUGUAAGAAAAACAAAACCCUAUCGCCGGACAAUGGAACUCGAAUCUACAUGCAUCUUAUUAACAUAUUGAGAAGAUAUCUUCGUUUGUAAUCUCUUCUGAAAUAAUAAAUAUUGUACUUCAAUAAA